UUUGUAUCAUAUUGCAAAUUGUUUAAGUCCUGUACUAGUGAAACAUUUGACACGAAGAAAUGGAAGACGCUGAAUUAUACGUUUGUCCUGAUAAUCCCACUGGAAUCCCAAAACAGAGAAAUAUAUGUUUUGUGAAAGAGAUGGACAACGUGUAUGAAAAUCUGCAGGUCCAACCUUGUCAUCUACAUGAACCAAAUGAAGAACCUAAGAAAAACAUGGCAGCAGCUCAGAGCUCUGGCCGGAGAGAGAUUUUGUACAAGCGAAUAUCAGUGGCGUUCUUCAGUCUGUGGAUCAUCACACUGAUCGCUCUCAUUGCUGGACU
rnacentral:lncRNA from 1 species